UGGCCUACGGGAGGCAGCAGUGGGGAAUAUUGCGCAAUGGGCGAACGCCUGACGCAGCGACGCCGCGUGAGGGAUGAAGGUCUUCGGAUCGUAAACCUCUGUCAGCAGGGCAGAACGGUCACUGUGCUAAUCAGCAGUGAAUUGACGGUACCUGCAAAGGAAGCACCGGCUAACUCCGUGCCAGCAGCCGCGGUAAUACGGAGGGUGCUAGCGUUAAUCGGAAUUACUGGGCGUAACGCGCUCGUAGGC
rnacentral:rRNA from 1 species